CACUGGCUCAUUAGAGCUUGAAGGAUUUUUUGCUUUAUAGGAGUAAUAAUUUAAUGAUACCAGUGUACAGGAUGGAAUUCAGCCAAGGUUGCCCUUGAGGCCAAAGAGUAUGUCCAAAGGGAGUUUAUAGCAAUUCCUUAGAAGAGAGCUGUGGAAAUUCAUGAGAGGGCUGAGGUCUUUUCAAUUGACCAUUCCGAAAGGACCUGGGUGGGGUAUGUGAGGACUUGCCUUUGAGAAUUGCUUGAGCUGCUACAUCUGGGAAAGGAUCAAAUGGUCUUUCAGGAAAGAAGCUUGGAAAGUUGAAAGGUCAUUGCCAACUUUACUAGGAUUCCAGGUCCUGGCAAGGCAGUUAGAAACAGCCAUGCUCGACUCCUGCCCGCUCCUUUGUCAUCAGCUUCCUUCCUCCUGAAAGAGAAUGGAAAAGGCCUUAAAGAAUUGCUCUUCGAGUCUCUAUUCUUUUUUUUUUUUAAAUAAGAUGAGGAGUUCUUUGGAUACAAGAGAUAAUCUUGGAAGAAAGUAAAAAAAAUCUUAAUAAAAACUGGAGAAAAUGAAAAAAUUCCAAAAUAAUGCAGGAAAAGUUGGUGAGAAAGAAGAAUGUGAUAAAGAAAAAUAUGUCAUCUAAAAUGUGAACUAGUAUGGCCAUGAUGAUAGCACUGGAAAUAAGGUUCACUACUCAAGAGAGAUUUAAUCUUAUGUUUGUCAAUCUCAUUGGACCCAGUUCUCUAAAAAGCACCCCAACGAGGAUUAUAAACCAGGUAGGUGAACCAGUUUCAGGUAGGAGGAUAUUCUGGGGAAGGGCGAGAAAGAAAACGUGUGUGUGUGUGUGUGUGUGUGUGUGUGUGUGUGAGAACACAUAUAAGGAAUAUAGAUGA
rnacentral:lncRNA from 1 species